rnacentral:rRNA from 1 species
UACGGAGGGUGCAAGCGUUGUCCGGAAUCACUGGGCGUAAAGGGCGCGUAGGCGGCUCAUGAAGGCUGUGGUGAAAGUCCGGGGCUCAACCUCGGAUCGGCCGUGGCGACUCGUGGGCUGGAGCACUGUAGAGGCGGGAGGAAUUCCGGGUGUAGCGGUGGAAUGCGUAGAGAUCCGGAAGAACACCAGUGGCGAAGGCGGCCCGCUGGGCAGUGGCUGACGCUGAGGCGCGACAGCGUGGGGAGCAAACAGG